AGAGUUUGAUCCUGGCUCAGGAUGAACGCUAGCGAUAGGCCUAACACAUGCAAGUCGAGGGGCAGCAUGGAUGUAGCAAUACAUUCGAUGGCGACCGGCGCACGGGUGAGUAACACGUAUGCAACCUACCUUUUACAAGGAGAUAGCCCGGAGAAAUCCGGAUUAAUACCCUAUAGUACAGAAACUCCGCAUGGGGUUUCUGUUAAAGAAUUUCGGUAAAAGAUGGGCAUGCGUUCCAUUAGCGAGUUGGUGGGGUAACGGCUCACCAAAGCAACGAUGGAUAGGGGAACUGAGAGGUUUAUCCCCCACACUGGAACUGAGACACGGACCAGACUCCUACGGGAGGCAGCAAUGAGGAAUCUUGGUCAAUGGACGCAAGUCUGAACCAGCCAAAUCGCGUGAAGGAUGACAGCCCUACGGGUUUUAAACUUCUUUUAUAAGAGAGUACACCACAUUACGCGUAAUGUGCAGCACGUAUCUUAAGAAAAAGCAUCGGCUAACUCCGUGCCAGCAGCCGCGGUAAUACGGAGGAUGCAAGCGUUAUUCGGAUUUAUUGGGUUUAAAGGGUGCGCAGGCGGUCAGAUAAGUCAGUGGUGAAAUCCCGAGGCUCAACCUCGGCACUGCCAUUGAAACUGUCCGACUAGAGUAUAGACGAAGUAGGCGGAACUCGUUAAGUAGCGGUGAAAUGCAUAGAUAUAACGAAGAACCCCAAUUGCGUAGGCAGCUUACUAGACUAACACUGACGCUCAAGCACGAAAGCGUGGGUAUCAAACAGGAUUAGAUACCCUGGUAGUCCACGCCGUAAACGAUGAUUACUCGUUGUUUGCAAUAUACCGCAAGUAACCAAGCGAAAGCGAUAAGUAAUCCACCUGGGGAGUACGCCGGCAACGGUGAAACUCAAAGGAAUUGACGGGGGCCCGCACAAGCGGAGGAACAUGUGGUUUAAUUCGAUGAUACGCGAGGAACCUUACCCGGGCUUGAAAUGUACUUGACCGGGGUGGAAACACCCCUUCUAGCAAUAGCAAGUAUGUAGGUGCUGCAUGGUUGUCGUCAGCUCGUGCCGUGAGGUGUCGGCUUAAGUGCCAUAACGAGCGCAACCCACAUUGUUAGUUACUAACAGGUAGAGCUGAGGACUCUAACAAGACUGCCGGCGUAAGCCGCGAGGAAGGUGUGGAUGACGUCAAAUCAGCACGGCCCUUACGUCCGGGGCGACACACGUGUUACAAUGGGAGGGACAGCAGGCAGCUACUAGGCGACUAGAUGCAAAUCCGUAAACCCUCUCCCAGUUCGGAUUGGAGUCUGCAACUCGACUCCAUGAAGCUGGAUUCGCUAGUAAUCGCAUAUCAGCCAUGAUGCGGUGAAUACGUUCCCGGGCCUUGUACACACCGCCCGUCAAGCCAUGGAAGUUGGGAGUAUCUGAAGGCUGUGACCGCAAGGAACGGUCUAAGAUAAUACCGAUAACUGGGGCUAAGUCGUAACAAGGUAACC
rnacentral:rRNA from 1 species